rnacentral:rRNA from 1 species
UUAAAGGAAUUGACGGGGAGCACUACAACGGGUGGAGCCUGCGGUUUAAUUGGACUCAACGCCGGAAAACUCACCGGGGCGACAGCAAUAUGUAGGUCAAGCUAAAGACUUUACCAGAAUCGCUGAGAGGAGGUGCAUGGCCGUCGUCAGUUCGUACUGUGAAGCAUCCUGUUAAGUCAGGCAACGAGCGAGACCCGUGCCCACUGUUGCCAGCAUGUCCUUCGGGAUGAUGGGUACUCCGUGGGGACCGCCGAUGCUAAAUCGGAGGAAGGUGCGGGCUACGGUAGGUCAGUAUGCCCCGAAUCUCCCGGGCUACACGCGGGCUACAAUGACUGGGACAAUGGGCUCCUACCCCGAAAGGGGAUGGUAAUCUCAUAAACCCAGCCUUAGUUCGGAUCGAGGGCUGUAACCCGCCCUCGUGAAGCUGGAAUCCGUAGUAAUCGCGUUUCAACAUAGCGCGGUGAAUACGUCCCUGCUCCUU